ACAUGUCCUAAUUGUAUUUAUAUAUUUUUAUGUUCAUAAAACUGUGAAUAUACUGUACAUUAAUUACAGCUUUUCCUUUAAUUCCUCAAAUAUGAUUAAUUCCAUGUUUGUGCUUUUGGAAGUUGAUCUUUACCCAAAUUAGGCUUUUUAUUGCGCAUUUUAGGCUCAUUUCCACUGUAGAGAACAAAUGAAGAGCUGUUUGUCUGGAAUUGAGACGUUCCUCUUUCUAGUGUGUCAGAUUUAUUAAAAGGAUAGUUGGCCCAAAAAUGAAAAUGCUGUCAUCAUUUACUCAACCUCACGUUGAUGCGAACACGAUAUUCUGCAGAAUGUUGGCGAGAUAUUCUUUCCUGUGGAAAAAUACUAUGGAAGUCAAUGGCUACCGACUUCAAAAUAUCUUCUAUUGUGUUCAACAGAAGAAAGAAACUCAACAUGAGGGUGAGUAAAUGAGGACAGAAUUGUCUUUUUUUGAGCUAAAACAGCUAUUCCAUUAAAUGUAAAUCAAAGAAAAUGAUCAAAACUAAAAGAUAAACAUCUCAUUUAUUAGAGAUACUCAACAGUUUCUCAUCAUCCACACUGAAGCUUUGGUUACUCAGAGUUGCAGACUCAGAAAGGAACGAUCAACACUGUGCUCCACAGACAU